CACCUGCACUUGGCUGACUUUCUCUUCUCCUAAAGAUACAGGAUCAGUCUCAGGCCAGGAACCUGGCAACCCUAGUCUGAAUACUAAAGAACUUGGAAUCCUCAAAAUGCAAAGAAUCCAGCGCUAGUUUCUUCCACAGACGAGAGGCAACAUCCAACAUACCCAAGAUUACAACCAAGGAUAAAGCUACAGGAUCCCUCUGGAACUUGAUCCCUGUGCAUCUUGGAUCCCAUAUUUCUGACCUACUUGAAUGGACAGCACACUCCCUAACCAUUCACAUCCUAGAGCCUGUCCUUACUGUGGCCUGACAGUGACCUCUACUGACUAAGGGCGAUGAUGGAUAAGAGUGAGAUUUCACAGGAGGACUUUUUUUUUAUCCUCCAAGUGAUGAAACCACUUCUUCCCCAAAGCUGCUUUGCAAGGAUCCUCAAUAAAGCAGAUGCUGAUGAUGAAGAGGACUGUAUAUGUUUGUGUGGACAUGAAAGAACAAAUAAUGUGGAUCCCUCUACAGAGGGGAGAGAAAGAAUGACAAAGGGACAGUAGGCACAUCUUGCACUGAAUGAGAGAGGGAAAGAAUACACUUUGCCAGGGUGUGCAGGAAGAGAUUUCGUUUAUGGAGAGAGAAAGAUGUAUCUGCUGGAUGCAUUUCAGGAGGCAAUUUAGAAAGAACACUAUUUCACCACCUACAUUUUGGAGGGAGCACCUAUAAGGUUAUAUUUCAUUUAGUCAUUUAAACAUUUUUAUAAGCUAGAUGAUCAACAAAGUCUUCAGCCUCACAAACAAGCCCAUAUAAACUACUACCCUACAAGAAUAUUUACUGGCUCACCUGCCCACACAUGCUUAAUUGCAGAGCUUGGAAAAGUUACUUUUUUUGAACUACAACUCCCAUCAGCCCAAUCCAGUGGCCAUGCUGGCUGGGGCUGAUGGGAGUUGUAGUUUAAAAAAGUAACUUUUCCAAGCUCUGCUUAAUUGUGACUUAAGAUCAAUUGACACACAAGAUUUGCUCAGUCAAGGGAAUGGCAGAUAGUUCAGACUUCUGUGCUGUACAGCAUGACUACAAAACCUACUUAAAUGAAAAGAACAACGAUCAACCAUGUUCUCAACCAUUUCUUCAGUUGUGGAAGAAAAGCUAAAUUAUGGAUAGUCUUGGCCAUCAUCAGUCUUGAAGAAUAACUGCCUGUGUCUAUUUGUGCAUUGUAGAACUAUAUGGAAGUUAUGCUGAGCAAAUAAUAAUGCAGAACUUAAGGUUACUGUGUAAGCCUCUAAGCAAUUACUUGUAUCUCUCUGUUCUCUUUCUUAGUUUUGUGUUCAUUUUAAUGUAAUAUUCAUUAUUUAAUAAUAUCUAAGAACCCACUUCUCUUCCUGAAUGUCUGAAAAACAA